rnacentral:misc_RNA from 1 species
UGAUGUCCAAGGUCUUUUACUGGAAUACGUAAAAAGAAACAAUCUCCGUGAUCCACACAAAUCUCAAAUUGUUUGUGAUUCAAGGCUCUUAACUCUGUUUGGAAAGCCAUGUGUGGGUCAUCUUGAAAUGCUGAAGCUUCUUGAAUGCCAUUUUCUUAUAAAAGAAGAAUCUUCAGCUGAUGAUGCUGUUAAAGUGGGAGUUGCUGAUGCUGUUGGUGGACAGUUAGAGGCUGCUGGAAGCACUGAUGGUCAACUGAUUGCAAGUAAUGACAGGUGUAAAACACACAAAAAGAUGGAUGAGAGGGGACCACAAAUUUAUCCAAAUCCAGAUGAAUAUGCAGCAAUA